AACAAUACUGGAUGCAUCGUAGUAGAGUAUAGAAGUUAAU
rnacentral:guide_RNA from 1 species